rnacentral:lncRNA from 1 species
UUGCAGUUAAAGAACAGAAACAGCAGUAAAACUGCAUGGCCACAUUUUCCCAGGGCCACCAACUGGGAGUUAAGCUGACUAACACUUUGAAAGCCCGGCCCAUUUCAUUCACAGCGGGUGCGGCAGG